UCGAGGAUCUUCGGCAAUGGGCGCAAGCCUGACCGAGCGACGCCGCGUGUGCGAUGAAGGCCUUCGGGUUGUAAAGCACUGUCGAGGGGGAGGAAGCCGCAAGGUUGACCUAUCCCUGGAGGAAGCACGGGCUAAGUUCGUGCCAGCAGCCGCGGUAAGACGAACCGUGCGAACGUUGUUCGGAAUCACUGGGCUUAAAGGGCGCGUAGGCGGACCAUCAAGUCCGGGGUGAAAUCUUUCGGCUUAACCGGAAAACAGCCUUGGAUACUGGUGGUCUCGAGCGAGGUAGGGGCCGUUGGAACUUCCGGUGGAGCGGUGAAAUGCGUUGAUAUCGGAAGGAACGCCGGUGGCGAAAGCGAACGGCUGGACCUCUUCUGACGCUGAGGCGCGAAAGCCAGGGGAGCAAACGGGAUUAGAUACCCCUGUAGUCC
rnacentral:rRNA from 1 species